rnacentral:rRNA from 1 species
UACGAGGGGGGCAAGCGUUGUUCGGAAUUAUUGGGCGUAAAGGGUGCGUAGGCGGUGCGGUAAGUCUGUUGUGAAAUCUCCGGGCUCAACUCGGAGUCUGCAUCAGAAACUGCCGUGCUGGAGUGUGGGAGAGGUGAGUGGAAUUCCCGGUGUAGCGGUGAAAUGCGUAGAUAUCAGGAGGAACACCGAUGGCGAAGGCAGGUCUCUGGGCUGACACUGACGCUCAUGCACGAAAGCGUGGGGAGCAAACAGG